rnacentral:rRNA from 1 species
CCUACGGGAGGCAGCAGUGGGGGAUAUUGCACAAUGGGGGAAACCCUGAUGCAGCGACGCCGCGUGUGGGAAGACGGUCCUCUGGAUUGUAAACCACUGUCCCCAGGGACGAAGAUGACGGUACCUGGGGAGGAAGCUCCGGCUAACUACGUGCCAGCAGCCGCGGUAAUACGUAGGGAGCGAGCGUUGUCCGGAAUUACUGGGUGUAAAGGGAGCGUAGGCGGGGAUGCAAGUUGGGUGUCAAAACUACCGGCUCAACUGGUAGUCGCACUCAAAACUGCAGCUCUUGAGUGAAGUAGAGGCAGGCGGAAUUCCUAGUGUAGCGGUGAAAUGCGUAGAUAUUAGGAGGAACACCAGUGGCGAAGGCGGCCUGCUGGACUGCAACUGACGUUGAGGCCCGAAAGCGUGGGGAGCAAACAGGAUUAGAUACCCCUGUAGUC